ACGGUUCAUUUACUAGGCGUUAAGCUUUUUCACCUAUUACUUUGGUCGUCCAUCUUUGGACGCCGAGUGGCUCCUGUCCACUCUGCUUUGACGCCUCCCUGUUAUCAACUUCAAAGCCGCCGGCAACGGCGGCUCUUUUUUU
rnacentral:ncRNA from 20 species